AAGAAAAUAGUUUAAUAUAAGAUUUGGGGCUUGAACCCUCAGGAUGGGCACUAAGCACGCCCUUUUCUUG
rnacentral:tRNA from 1 species